UAGGGAAUCUUCCACAAUGGACGCAAGUCUGAUGGAGCAACGCCGCGUGAGUGAAGAAGGUUUUCGGACCGUAAAGCUCUGUUGUUGGUGAAGAAGGAUAGAGGUAGUAACUGGCCUUUAUUUGACGGUAAUCAACCAGAAAGUCACGGCUAACUACGUGCCAGCAGCCGCGGUAAUACGUAGGUGGCAAGCGUUGUCCGGAUUUAUUGGGCGUAAAGCGAGCGCAGGCGGAAGAAUAAGUCUGAUGUGAAAGCUCUCGGCUUAACCGAGGAAUUGCAUCGGAAACUGUUUUCUUGAGUGCAGAAGAGGAGAGUAGAACUCCAUGUGUAGCGGUGGAAUGCGUAGAUAUAUGGAAGAAUACCAGUGGCGAAGGCGGCUCUCUGGUCUGCAACUGACGCUGAGGCUCGAAAGCAUGGGUAGCGAACAGGAUUAGAUACCCUGGUAGUCCAUGCCGUAAACGAUGAGUGCUAAGUGUUGGGAGGCUUCCGCCUCUCAGUGCUGCAGCUAACGCAUUAAGCACUCCGCCUGGGGGAGUACGACCGCAAGGUUGAAAC
rnacentral:rRNA from 1 species